rnacentral:misc_RNA from 1 species
UUCUGUUUCAAUGCCUUUCGUAGCUUGAAUAGGAAUUUGGCAAACAGUUCAUAUUUACCCAUUGCAUUCCUUACAUCUUCCUCAAUCUAUUUUAGUCUGUGUGGGCAUAUAUGGAUUAUGUUUUGUUCUUGCAAAUCAGCAUUUACUUUGAUCUGAAUGUUUAAAAGUAGGGACUAGGGAGAAGUGUCAAAACUAGUAGUUUGAUAUGAUUUAUCAGUUUCCACUUAUGUGGUAGGUGAUAGUUAGGCAUUUUUAUUUUAGCUGUCCACAACUUACCUUUUGCAUCAAGCCUAUUAAGUGCUGAAGAAUUCUCAACAUCUCCCUUGUGCUCUAUUUCUUCCCUUGUUUGCUAAUGAAAAUGCCUUGGGGAGCCUGUGUUGGAGGAAAAAAUGUUAUG